GAUCUAUGUUUACAACUAGAUAACUAAAUUCUACAAUUUCCCACACUCUCCCACCUGCAAGAUCCUUACAUAAGCUUCCAGCUCCGCCCAUGCAGUUGCUGGUCUCCAUUCUGUGAGUCAGCCUGGCAGGCUGCAGACUGCUGCCCCAAUAAAGCUUGCUUGAAUGUCUGUGUGUGCCCCCUUCUUCAGCUACCCUUUCAUUCUGGUGCUGAAAACCUGGGAGGUGGCGCUAUGGGGCCCUGCGGGCUCACCGCACUGGGGUCCAGAGCUGCACUCCCGAUCGCCCCUUCCCGGAACUGUGGUUGCCGAACCGAACUGGGGCACACACCUCCGGGGCUUUCAGUCCUUUGCCAUUGCUGACGCCACAUCCAACACCGGCCUGAUUCUCUCAACGGACCCCAAAUUGCCAAGUAUUUCAGAAGAAGACAACAGAAAAGAUGACCCAAGAUAACAUAAGAAACAAGAGGACCCUACCCUUUGCAGCCUCAAAAUUGCAAAAGUGAAAAGGUGCUUUGAGAAGAGUGCCUCAGCACACCUUGUUCCAGAAUGGUAGUGGCCUAGAGAAUUUGUUCCUUGGGAUUUUAUUCAUAGGUACUAGACCCCCCCAAACAAGAAAGAAGGAAGCAUGGCUACUUCUCCAGCUGUCAACAGGACCUAGUAUCAUCCACGUGGUGCUGGUUUUAGGUGCAUGCAGAACCAAGAGUUUUAGAGUCAGGAAAUCUUCCACCCAGAUUUCAGAAGGCCUGGGAAGCCAGGCAGUGUGCUCCUGAGAGAGCAGUGUGUGAAGCUGUGAGUGUGAACCUGAAAAUGCAGUGCAGACCCCAGAAGUUUGGAGAAGCUAGCAACAUAAAUCAUCUAAGGAACGGAGCAGAGCUGGUCCAAGAGAGAAGACUCAGGAGCUACAACCACCAGCAGUGCCAUAGGGGUAGAGCCACCCAAGUCCUUUGGUGUUCACAUCUUGGCACUGAUUGCUUGAGAUGGUGGACAUGUAACUAGAGGACUUAAUGUUUGCCCUGCUGGAUUUUGGACUUGCUUUGAUCCUAUGCCUUUGUAUUCCCUAUUUGUAGCUUUUUUUUUUUUUUUUGGUACCGGGGUUCAAACUCAGGUCCUUGUGCUUGCAAGGCAGGUGGCAGAACCACUGAGCUAAAUCCCUGGCCCGAUUUGUAGCUUUUGAAAUGGAAAUAUCUAUCUUGUGCCAUUGAAAGUUGGAAGUAUUUAACCUUCUGUUCAUUUGUACCAGGACUUGCAGCUAAGGGUUGCCUCAAAUCUCAGAGCAGACUUUGGAGUUGGAAUUUUCAGCAAUAUUGAAAUUGUUAGUAUUUUGGCAACUUUUAGAGAUAAAGUAAAUAUCUUUUGCAGAAAGGGAUGUGCAUGAGACUUUGCAGUGGAAUGCUAUGGCUUGUGUCUAGAUUUCCCCCCAAAGCUUCAUCCAGUCAUGGGGGGCUUUUCAGAUGUGGCUAGAUCUACAGUCUGUGUCCCUGGGAUCAAGGGUGUGUGUUUGCUAAAUCAGUCCACUGAUAGUUUUGGCAUAGUUCUGUCUAGGAUUAAGGGUGUGAGUGCUAAUCUGCCCUAGGGCAAGUAGCAUGCAUAAAAUAUAAGGAACAUAAAGAAGGCUAAUGUGCUCUCCCACCUGCCUGCUUGCCAUGAACUAUUUUUCCUCUGUAAUGAUCUACUGCAAUGCCACCCUGCUUAGAACUAGCUGACUGUGCCCUGAAACCUGUG
rnacentral:lncRNA from 1 species